AAAGGAAAGUAAUUUGUUUUGAAUUUGAUGAGUUCCGUUUUGAAUUUUUUUGGGGUGUAAUUAAUUGAUGAAUUAAUCAGGUUUUUAAUUCAGCCAUAAAACGCAGUCGGUUAUUUUUUUUUUUUUGAUUCGCUAAUUUUGCAUAUUUUCAGUCUCGUAUAAAUUGGUUAGGGUUUUCACCAUUUUUGUGUUCAGUACUUGAUUUUUCUUCUUCUCCGAUCUGGAGAAGAUGCAGAAAGUAUGGUUCCUCUUUUUUUUUUUUUUUUGGGGUGGGUGUGGGUGUGUGUGGGUGUUUUGUUUCAAAUGACAACUGAUUGAUCUAAUUGACCUCACAAAAUGCUGUUAUUGCUAUAAUUUCAGGUCGUUUGGUAUACGAUUCUAGUUCAUACGAUUGCAAAGGGGAUGUGGUAGGGAGAAACAUGCGGGGGUUGAGCUUGCUGAUUAACGUUUUUGUUAUCUCCUUGAAUUUGUACUGCAGGGUUAUUCUAAAACUUGCGAUUCUUCCCGUUGAAACCUAGCCCUCGUUUCCUUUUAUCCUUUUAAUUAUAUAUCCAUGGGAACCAAUCGCUUUCCUUCCUAUGUUUGCCUCUUCUACAUUCUAUAAUUUGGCCAUUAGAUUUAGCAUUCAAAACUACUCUAGCCCAUCAAAUCUAUCUCAAUAUCUCAAUAUCUAUAAUUUAGUUCAUC
rnacentral:lncRNA from 1 species